GACGAACGCUGGCGGCGUGCUUAACACAUGCAAGUCGAACGGAAAGGCCCUGCUUUUGUGGGGUGCUCGAGUGGCGAACGGGUGAGUAGCACGUGAGUAACCUGCCCUUGACUUUGGGAUAACUUCAGGAAACUGGGGCUAAUACCGGAUAGGAGCUCCUGCUGCAUGGUGGGGGUUGGAAAGUUUCGGCGGUUGGGGAUGGACUCGCGGCUUAUCAGCUUGUUGGUGGGGUAGUGGCUUACCAAGGCUUUGACGGGUAGCCGGCCUGAGAGGGUGACCGGCCACAUUGGGACUGAGAUACGGCCCGGACUCCUACGGGAGGCAGCAGUGGGGAAUAUUGCACAAUGGGCGGAAGCCUGAUGCAGCAACGCCGCGUGCGGGAUGACGGCCUUCGGGUUGUAAACCGCUUUCGCCUGUGACGAAGCGUGAGUGACGGUAAUGGGUAAAGAAGCACCGGCUAACUACGUG
rnacentral:rRNA from 1 species